AAGGAACAAGACAUUGAUAAAUAAAUUAACUAGCAUGAGUGUCUUUCCUCAGUCUGACCAUAGGUUCUUAGUAAACUAAGGUACCACAUCACCUAUCUAGACACCAAAAAAAACUACACAUGAUAUGGCAAAUUACUAGUCCAACAGCGACUGAAAAGCAACAAAAUUCAUGAAAACCAACUCGUUCUCUAAGCAACAAGAGUGCUGGCAGUUGUUGAUUCGCUGCAAAAGAGACAAG
rnacentral:lncRNA from 1 species